rnacentral:pre_miRNA from 1 species
AUCACCCAGGAAUCUUGUUAAAAUGCAGAUUCUGAUUCAGUAGGGCUGGCACGGGGCCCAGAUUCUGCAUUUCUAACAAGCUUCCAGGUGAUUAGAA